rnacentral:lncRNA from 10 species
UCAGUGAUUCUCCUGCCUCAGGCUCCCGAGUAGCUGGGAUGACAGGCAUGAGCCACCACACCAGGCUGAUUUCAUAUUUUUAGUAGGGACGGGGUUUUUCCAUGUUGGUUAGGCUGGUCUUGAACUCUCAACCUUGGGUGAUCCGCCCAACUCGGCCUCCCAAAGUGCUGGGAUUACAGGUGUGAGCCACCACACCUGGCCAAGGCCAUGUAAUUUGUUAAGUGGAAAGAUGAAGUACUUGAUGAACUCAGAAGUUUGACUUCAAGACCCUUGAUCUUUCCAUGACACGUGGUUGCUUCCCUGGUUGGUGGGGAGUGACUGAAGAACUCAAGGAAGCUGUGUUUUGUGGAAAGAAGACCUGAGGGGUGUAUGGUCUUUCCAGGCUUGGAAUUGCCAUGCUGGGCUUCUGAAUUGUGCAGCUGGGCCAUAUAGAGAGAAGCCCCUCAUUUAAGACUUAUUCUUUAGGGGAAAUAAAGGAAGGCCACCCACAUGAGACAGGCAGAGACCACUUUCUCAGAGCUGCUGUGGCAAGGGAGUCGGCACCAUCACUUGCGUGUGGCAGAGACUGACAUGCAAGUGAGUGGCAGAUGAGGAGUGGGGAAGCUUCAGGAUGGAAAAGAACGGCUCUCAGUGGAGGCUGUUGUGGGGGCUGGAGGCGGCUGUGCAGAAGUGGGGUGUCCUAUGUGAUUCAUUAGGGGCGUAUUUGGCUGUAGUUUAUUUGUGUAGCCUCUGUUGGUAGGAAGUUAUUUGUGGAAUUUGUGAAUGGAAGGGACCUUGGAGGUCUGCUAGGUCAGCCCAGUAAUUUUCAAGAUAAACGGAAAUACAGGGAAAUGUUCCAGCUUCUUUGGUGGCAAAACCAGGAAUAGAAAGCAGUGUUCUUUGUCCCACAAUGUCAUUGGAAGACAACUCAAUGUGUGCCUAAAAUGCAGAGUAACUAACU